rnacentral:tRNA from 1 species
AAGAACUUAAGUUAAAUGUAUAAACUAUUGACCUUCAAAGUCAGAUAUAGAAAUUAGUAUAUUCUAGAUCUUA